rfam:Candidatus Atribacteria bacterium 4572_76 ex4572_76_scaffold_2175, whole genome shotgun sequence.
AAAAAAAAUAUUCUCCGAGCUAUCACACCUAAGGUGAAAACGAUGGUGGAUUAGCCGAUAGGGAAUGAGGGGAAACUCUUAUUCCUCCCGUGUUUGGAAAGGAGGACUGAUAUUAUGCGC